CCUACGGGUGGCAGCAGUGAGGAAUAUUGGUCAAUGGGCGUAAGCCUGAACCAGCCAAGUCGCGUGAGGGAUGAAGGCCCUAUGGAUCGUAAACUUCUUUUAUAAGGGAAUAAAGUGUGGGACGUGUCCUAUUUUGUAUGUACCUUAUGAAUAAGGAUCGGCUAACUCCGUGCCAGCAGCCGCGGUAAUACGGAGGAUCCGAGCGUUAUCCGGAUUUAUUGGGUUUAAAGGGUGCGUAGCCGGCCUUUUAAGUCAGCGGUGAAAGUCUGUGGCUCAACCAUAGAAUUGCAGUUGAUACUGGGUGGCUUGAGUAUGUUUGAGGCAGGCGGAAUGCGUGGUGUAGCGGUGAAAUGCUUAGAUAUGACGAAGAACCCCGAUUGCGAAGGCAGCCUGCCAAGCCAUGACUGACGCUGAUGCGCGAAAGCGUGGGGAUCAAACAGGAUUAGAUACCCUAGUAGUC
rnacentral:rRNA from 1 species